rnacentral:rRNA from 1 species
CGCCAGACUCCUACGGGAGGCAGCAGUGGGGGAUAUUGCACAAUGGGGGGAACCCUGAUGCAGCGACGCCGCGUGGGUGAAGGAGCGUUUCGGCGCGUAAAGCCCUCUCGGCAGGGAAGAAGGAGGACGGUACCUGACUAAGAAGCCCCGGCUAACUACGUGCCAGCAGCCGCGGGAAUACGUAGGGGGCAAGCGUUAUCCGGAUUUACUGGGGGUAAAGGGGGCGCAGACGGCAGCGCAAGCCAGGAGUGAAAGCCCGGGGCCCAACCCCGGGACUGCUCUGGAAACUGCGGCGCUGGAGUACGGGAGGGGCAGGCGGAAUUCCUGGUGUAGCGGUGAAAUGCGUAGAUAUAAGGAGGAACACCGGUGGCGAAGGCGGCCUGCUGGACUGCGACUGACGUUGAGGCCCGAAAGCGUGGGGAGCAAACAGGAUUAGAUACCCUCGUACUA